GCGUUUUAUUUUAUUUGGCUUUACACAUAUUAAUUCAUGGUGUUUAUGUAUGGUUAUAGGUUACGGAUGCAACGUCGUUAAACAAUUCCAGGACAAUUAAAUUGCUGAUUCAAUCGAACAUAUGGUAUGAACAUGGUUCGUUUCACGGCGUGUUUCGGUGUCUUGCCUUGAAUCAAGGCGUGUAAAAACGUAAAGCUUGUUUUUAUCUAUCUUUUUUUAUUGUCACGUCUUUAUCCAUCUAUAUAACGCUUAAUCAUCAAUUAUUAUAUUAAACUUCAAUAAAGGCAACAACAUCCUGGUUGGUUUGUUUUAUCUGAUUAGUGUACCAAAUUCAAUUGGAACAAUAUCAGAUCUAAGAAAUUAUUGAUUAUUGAUACAUGCAGGUUAUGUGUGAUCCUUAUACACCAGCUGGUGUUCCAAUUCCAACCAACAAGAGACACAACGCUGCUAAAAUUUUCAGACACCCAUCGUUGCCUCCGAGGAGCCUUGCAACCACGAUGCAUGAAGAAGAUUCAGGGAAAUGAUAGGGAGCUUGGUUUAACCGUUCUUACAAUGUCUGAGAUACUAUCCAUGGCUGAGGAAAGAGGAGACUCAGUUUCUGUAUCAGUUUACGAGGUUUCUCAGGAAACCGUGUAUGACCUUUUAGACCAAGAGAAGCGAGUGGUUGCUGUACUGGAAGGUGCACAAGGGAAAAUUCAACUAAAGGGACUUCCUCAGGUACCUGUGAAGUCACUCUCAGAAUUCCAUAAAGGUGUGAUGAUACAUGCUACCACUGGCAACGCCAAUCCAGGCUCCCUUGGGAGGAUGAACUUUCUUGAUAUGGCAGGAUAUGAGGAUUCCAGGAAACAAAACAGUGCUCUAGCUCCUCUAGAGAUUGCCAGAGUUAAUAAGUUGAUAUAUGCUUUACAGAAUGUCAUGUAUGCUCUCAACGGAAAUGAAUCCCAUGUGCCAUAUCGGGAGAGCAAACUCACUCGAAUGCUGAAAGAUUGUUUAAAAGGAUGCAACAGACGUUGCUGAUCACAUGCUUGCCUCGGGAAUAUAGCCAAAACUCCUUUUACAUGUUAAACUUAGCAUCACGGAUCUGUCUAGGUAGUAACCGAGCCAUGACUAAUCCUACUAAGAAGAAGAUCUACGGUCUUGAAAGAUCUAUUUCAUUAUGCUCUGCCGCUCAAAGGAGACAGACACCUUUGACUGUGUCUGCUACUUCUAGAAAACAGACAGUGCUAAGGGGAAAUGUGACAGAGAGAAAAGACUAAAAUCAACAUUGCUGCUUCUGCAAUUAAAGCAAGGAAACUGUUCCGGGAAGCAAACGAUUCCGUGAAAUGUAAAAAUAGCAUGUUGGAAAAUUUAAUUAAUACGUCAUGAAGUGGAACAAUCUAGAUUCUUCCUUUACAAAGAGGUAAAACAGAGCGUAUAGAAACAGAGACUAAGCGACCAAGAGU